rnacentral:rRNA from 1 species
AACGAACGCUGGAGGCAGGCUUAACACAUGAACGUCGAGCGCCCCGCAAGGGGAGCGGCAGACGGGAGAGUAACGAGUGGGAAUCUACCCAUAUCUUAGGAAUAAAGCAUGGAAACGGGUGCUAAUACCGUAUACGUCCAUCGGGAGAACGAUUUAUCGGAGAUGGAUGAGCCCGCGUUGGAUUAGCUAGUUGGAGGGGGAAAGGCCUACCAAGGCGACGAUCAAUAGCUGGUCUGAGAGGAUGAUUAGCCACACUGGGACUGAGACACGGCCCGAACUCCUAUGGGAGGCAGCGGUGGGGAAUAUUGGACAAUGGGCGCAAGCCUGAGCCGGCCAUGCCGGGUGAGUGGUGAAGGCUCUGGGGUUGUAAAGCGCUUUCACCGGCGAAGAUAAUGACGGUAGCCGGAGAAGAAGCCCCGGCUAACUUCGUGCCAGCCGCCGCGGUAACAC